GCAGGGAGUUUUGCGCAAUGGGCGAAAGCCUGACGCAGCAACGCCGCGUGAGGGAUGAAGGCCUUCGGGUUGUAAACCUCUUUUAUCAGGGAAGAAUAAUGACGGUACCUGGUGAAUAAGUCACGGCUAACUACGUGCCAGCAGCUGCGGUAAUACGUAGGUGGCAAGCGUUAUCCGGAUUCACUGGGCGUAAAGAGCGCGUAGGUGGUCCUUCAAGUCAGAUGUUAAAUCUCCCGGCUUAACUGGGAGCUGUCAUCUGAUACUGCUGGACUUGAGGGCGGUAGAGGGAGGUGGAAUUCCCGGUGUAGUGGUGAAAUGCGUAGAUAUCGGGAGGAACACCAGUGGCGAAAGCGGCCUCCUAGGCCGUUCCUGACACUGAGGCGCGAAAGCGUGGGGAGCGAACAGGAUCAGAUACCCCAGUAGUCC
rnacentral:rRNA from 1 species